GACGAACGCUGGCGGCGUGCUUAACACAUGCAAGUCGAACGGAAAGGCCCCUUUGGGGGUUCUCGAGUGGCGCACGGGUGAGUAACACGUGUGUAACCUGCCCUUGACUUCGGGAUAACUUCAGGAAACUGGGGCUAAUACCGGCUAGGAAUCCUUGCUGCAUGGUGGGGGUUGGAAAGCUUCGGCGGUUUUGGAUGGACUCGCGGCUUAUCAGCUUGUUGGUGGGGUAGUGGCUUACCAAGGCUUUGACGGGUAGCCGGCCUGAGAGGGCGACCGGCCACCUUGGGACUGAGAUACGGCCCAGACGCCGACUGGAGGCAGCAGUGGGGAAUAUUGCACAAUGGGCGGAAGCCUGAUGCAGCAACGCCGCGUGCGGGAUGACGGCCUUCGGGUUGUAAACCGCUUUCAGCAGGGGCGAAGCUUGUGGUGACGGUACCUGCAGAAGAAGCACCGGCUAACUACGUG
rnacentral:rRNA from 1 species